AAAUAAAGACUAGUAUGAAUGGCUUCACGAGGAUCCAACUGUCUCCUUUGUCCAAUCAGUGAAACUGAUCCCCCCGUGCAGAAGCGGGGAUAUUAUCAUAAGACGAGAAGACCCUAUGGAGCUUUAAACCUACAUCAACAAAUUUCUUUCUAUCUCUAAACUAACAUUUAUUAAAUUUGCUUGAUUAAAGUUUUAGGUUGGGGCGACCAUGGAGAAAAAAAAAUCCUCCACGAUGAUCUCCUAACUAAGAACCACAAUUCUAAGUAUUAAGACUCUUAACUUAUAUUGACCCAUUUUAUGAUCAACGAACCAAGUUACCCUAGGGAUAACAGCGCAAUCCAUUUCAAGAGUCCCUAUCGACAAAUGGGUUUACGACCUCGAUGUUGGAUCAGGGCACCCAAGUGGUGCAACCGCUACUAAAGGUUCGUUUGUUCAACGAUUAAAGCCCUACGUGAUCUGAGUCAGACC
rnacentral:rRNA from 1 species